rnacentral:rRNA from 1 species
AGUGAACGCUGGCUGUAGGCCUAACACAUGCAAGUCGAACGGCAGCACAGUAAGAGCUUGCUAUUACGGGUGGCGAGUGGCGGACGGGUGAGGAAUACAUCGGAAUCUACUUUUUCGCGGGGGAUAACGUAGGGAAACGUACGCUAAUACCGCAUACGACCUACGUGUGAAAGCACGGGAUCUUCGGACCUUGCGCGAGUGAAUGAGCCGAUGUCGGAUUAGCUAGUUUGCGGGGUAAAGGCCCACCAAGGCGACGAUCCGUAGCUGGUCUGAGUGGAUGAGCAGCCACACUAGAACUGAAACACGGUCCAGACUACUACGGGAGGCAGCAGUGGGGAAUAUUAGACAAUGGGCGCAAGCCUGAUCCAGCCAUACCGCGUGGGUGAAGAAGGCCUUCGGGUUGUAAAGCCCUUUUGUUGGGAAAGAAAGGCAGCAGGUUAAUACCCCGCUGUUCUGACGGUACCCAAAGAAUAAGCACCGGCUAACUUCGUG